UGAACCGUUCUUCAGAUCGUAUGAAAACCCUUGCUAAAACUGCUGCAUUAGAUAUUCUGACUGAUAAAUGGCAUGAAAAACCUCUCAAUGAUAAAUACCCAAAGGGAGCUAAUAAUGCCAAUGUUGACAAAGGCCUUACCCCUCAAUGGUUAGUGUCUUCUGGCUUAAAAUCA